UGCGUAGGUGGCGCCGUAAGUCGGGUGUGAAAUUUCGAGGCUUAACCUCGAAACUGCAUUCGAUACUGCGGUGCUUGAGGACUGGAGAGGAGACUGGAAUUCAUGGUGUAGCAGUGAAAUGCGUAGAGAUCAUGAGGAAGACCAGUGGCGAAGGCGGGUCUCUGGACAGUUCCUGACACUGAGGCACGAAGGCCAGGGGAGCAAACG
rnacentral:rRNA from 1 species